rnacentral:piRNA from 1 species
UGAGUGAUGGCAGCUUUUAUUCCCCUAAGU